CGCUAGCUACAGGCUUAACACAUGCAAGUCGAGGGGCAGCAUCGUUGGUUGCUUAGCAACCAAUGAUGGCGACCGGCGCACGGGUGAGUAACGCGUAUCCAACCUUCCCCUAGUAGGGCAUAGCCCGGCGAAAGUCGGAUUAAUACCCUAUGUUCUUCGUAGAUGACAUCUGAAAUGAAGCAAAGGUUUACCGCUAAGGGAUGGGGAUGCGUCUGAUUAGGCAGUCGGCGGGUAACGGCCCACCGAGCCGACGAUCAGUAGGGGUUCUGAGAGGAAGGUCCCCCACAUUGGAACUGAGACACGGUCCAAACUCCUACGGGAGGCAGCAGUGAGGAAUAUUGGUCAAUGGGCGCGAGCCUGAACCAGCCAAGUAGCCGUGCAGGAAGACGGCCCUAUGGGUUGUAAACUGCUUUUAUGCGGGGAUAAAGUCGCCCACGUGUGGGUGUUUGUAGGUACCGCAUGAAUAAGGACCGGCUAAUUCCGUGCCAGCCGCCGC
rnacentral:rRNA from 1 species